rnacentral:rRNA from 1 species
CCUACGGGAGGCAGCAGUGAGGAAUAUUGGUCAAUGGGCGCGAGCCUGAACCAGUCAAGUAGCGUGAAGGAUGACUGCCCCACGGGUUGUAAACUUCUUUUCUCAGGGACGAAGCAAGUGACGGUACCUGAGGAAUAAGCCACGGCUAACUACGUGCCAGCAGCCGCGGUAAUACGUAGGUGGCAAGCGUUAUCCGGAUUUACUGGGUGUAAAGGGCGUGUAGGCGGGAAAGCAAGUCAGAUGUGAAAACCAUGGGCUCAACCUGUGGCCUGCAUUUGAAACUGUUUUUCUUGAGUACUGGAGAGGCAGACGGAAUUCCUAGUGUAGCGGUGAAAUGCGUAGAUAUUAGGAGGAACACCAGUGGCGAAGGCGGUCUGCUGGACAGCAACUGACGCUGAGGCGCGAAAGCGUGGGGAGCAAACAGGAUUAGAUACCCGUGUAGUC